rnacentral:rRNA from 1 species
GAGUUUGAACCUGGCUCAGAUUGAACGCUGGCGGCAUGCUUUACACAUGCAAGUCGAACGGUAACAGGGAGCUUGCUCUGCUGACGAGUGGCGAACGGGUGAGUAAUAUAUCGGAACGUACCCAAGAGUGGGGGAUAACGUAGCGAAAGUUACGCUAAUACCGCAUACGAUCUAAGGAUGAAAGCAGGGGAUCUUCGGACCUUGUGCUCCUGGAGCGGCCGAUAUCUGAUUAGCUAGUUGGUGAGGUAAAGGCUCACCAAGGCGACGAUCAGUAGCUGGUCUGAGAGGACGACCAGCCACACUGGAACUGAGACACGGUCCAGACUCCUACGGGAGGCAGCAGUGGGGAAUUUUGGACAAUGGGCGCAAGCCUGAUCCAGCAAUGCCGCGUGAGUGAAGAUGGCCUUCGGGUUGUAAAGCUCUUUUGUCAGGGAAGAAACGGUAGGGGCUAAUAUCCCUUGCUAAUGACGGUACCUGAAGAAUAAGCACCGGCUAAC